AGACCUGCCACUCAACCUGUUUAACCAGUGAGAGGAUGUGUCAAGUAAAAAAAAACAAAAACAGUGUGGCGCUCUCUCUGAUUAUCACCGGGUCCUAUACGUCAGCUACCCAUGGGACCAAAUCACAACACAUAUUCUAGUGCCUCAUUUCACUGCUUGAGUUAUGUACUGUAAUAGUGUAAUUACAGUGUUAUAGUGUUGUUACAGUGUUAUUGUAAUAGUAACAACAAAAUACUUAAAGCCAAAAAUAGUGUGGUUGUGUUUCCGCCACUGGAACUUGCAGCAAAUGUUUGAAAACAGCUCAGUGUAUUACAUUUAAUGAACCUGGGAGCGCGUGGGAUCAAAUGUAAAGAAACAGAGGCAUGCACAAUGUUUUUGGAAGAAAAAAGUAAUUAGGUAGAGUAGUAAAUUCAGCUGGUUCAUUGUGUUAAUUGUGAAUGAAGAAACCAGAUAUCAAUGCAAAAUGCAGCUGGCACAUUUCACCUAAAGAACAUUUCUAUUUAAAGAGGAGCUGCUGAGUGGAAGUGGGAGAGCGAGACUCACAUGAGGAAAGUCAGUACGCCCACGCUCCAGAUGUCAGCUGGAGGACCCACCACAUCCCCUUUCAACAUUUCAGGAGCUGCAAGGAGCAGAAAGGAACAACAUGCAUAGUCAUUAUUUCACAACUUGUGUGCACCCACCCACUGUUACAUAAACCUCCUCAAGAACAGAAAUAACAAGGAGCUGCACGGGGUCCGUGGCGGAGGAGGGUUUGCUGAAAGCCUUGGAGGUGAUGGUCAGGAUCCUGAACGCGUAGCGGACUUCUUUG